rnacentral:rRNA from 1 species
UAGAGUUUGAUCCUGGCUCAGAUUGAACGCUGGCGGCAGGCCUAACACAUGCAAGUCGAGCGGAAACGAGUUGUUUGAACCUUCGGGGGACGACAACGGCGUCGAGCGGCGGACGGGUGAGUAAUGCCUGGGAAAUUGCCCUGAUGUGGGGGAUAACCAUUGGAAACGAUGGCUAAUACCGCAUGAUAGCUUCGGCUCAAAGAGGGGGACCUUCGGGCCUCUCGCGUCAGGAUAUGCCCAGGUGGGAUUAGCUAGUUGGUGAGGUAAGGGCUCACCAAGGCGACGAUCCCUAGCUGGUCUGAGAGGAUGAUCAGCCACACUGGAACUGAGACACGGUCCAGACUCCUACGGGAGGCAGCAGUGGGGAAUAUUGCACAAUGGGCGCAAGCCUGAUGCAGCCAUGCCGCGUGUAUGAAGAAGGCCUUCGGGUUGUAAAGUACUCUCAGCAGUGAGGAAGACGGUGUGUUUAAUACGUACAUCAUUUGACGUUAGCUGCAGAAGAAGCACCGGCUAACUCCGUGCCAGCAGCCGCGGUAAUACGGAGGGUGCGAGCGUUAAUCGGAAUUACUGGGCGUAAAGCGCAUGCAGGUGGUUUGUUAAGUCAGAUGUGAAAGCCCGGGGCUCAACCUCGGAAUAGCAUUUGAAACUGGCAGACUAGAGUACUGUAGAGGGGGGUAGAAUUUCA